rnacentral:rRNA from 1 species
GACGAACGCUGGCGGCGUGCUUAACACAUGCAAGUCGAACGGAAAGGCCCUGCUUUUGUGGGGUGCUCGAGUGGCGAACGGGUGAGUAACACGUGAGUAACCUGCCCUUGACUUUGGGAUAACUUCAGGAAACUGGGGCUAAUACCGGAUAGGAGCUCCUGCUGCAUGGUGGGGGUUGGAAAGCUUCGGCGGUUGGGGAUGGACUCGCGGCUUAUCAGCUUGUUGGUGGGGUAGUGGCUUACCAAGGCUUUGACGGGUAGCCGGCCUGAGAGGGUGACCGGCCACAUUGGGACUGAGAUACGGCCCAGACUCCUACGGGAGGCAGCAGUGGGGAAUAUUGCACAAUGGGCGGAAGCCUGAUGCAGCAACGCCGCGUGCGGGAUGACGGCCUUCGGGUUGUAAACCGCUUUCGCCUGUGACGAAGCGUGAGUGGCGGUAAUGGGUAAAGAAGCACCGGCUAACUACGUG